rnacentral:lncRNA from 1 species
GGUUAAUACUCUCAUGCAAUCUCUUGGCUCAAGGAGCAGAAGCAUUCAGAAGACGCAUAUCGUGAGAUCUGCUGUGGGAUCAAGAAUUAAAUAACUAAUAUUCUGGUCUCUGAACUGCUGAGAGAAGUAUGACAUCCAUGCUGUGUGCAAAAUGAUUGAGCUUUGACGUCUGCUCAACCACCGGCCAGACAGCUGAUGAGAUUCAUCCAAUUUCUAGAGUCCUUCAUCUGCUCUAUUUAUGUAAAUCAUAGAUAGAGUGCCAGUAGGUGGCACUUGAAAAUAUUUACUAUGCUUCCUGUGCUUUACUGGACCAAUAAAAACAUGUUAUUG